rnacentral:rRNA from 1 species
CCUACGGGUGGCAGCAGUGAGGAAUAUUGCUCAAUGGGCGAGAGCCUGAAGCAGCAACGUAGCGUGAAUGAUGAAUGUCUUCGGGGUUGUAAACUUUUUUUCUCAGGGACGAAAUACGUGUAGGUACCUGAGGAAUCCGCCACGGCUACCUACGUGCAAGCAGCCGCGGUCAUCCGUAGGUGGCACGCGUUAUCCGGAUUUACUGGGUGUAAAGGGCGUGUAGGCGGGGACGCAAGUCGGAUGUGAAAACCACGGGCUCAACCUGGGGCCUGCAUUGGAAACUGUGUUUCUUGAGUGCAGGAGAGGCAGAUGGAAUUCCUAGUGUAGCGGUGAAAGGCGUAGAGAUUAGGAGGAACACCAGUGGCGAAGGCGAUCUGCUGGACAGCAACUGACGCUGAGGCGCGAAAGCGUGGGGAGCAAACAGGAUUAGAUACCCGAGUAGUC